GAUGAACGCUGGCGGCGUGCCUAAUACAUGCAAGUCGAGCGAACGGACGAGAAGCUUGCUUUUCUGAUGUCAGCGGCGGACGGGUGAGUAACACGUGGAUAACCUACCUAUAAGACUGGGAUAACUUCGGGAAACCGGAGCUAAUACCGGAUAAUAUUUUGAACCGCAUGGUUCAAAAGUGAAAGACGGUCUUGCCGUCACUUAUAGAUGGAUCCGCGCUGCAUUAGCUAGUUGGUAAGGUAACGGCUUACCAAGGCAACGAUGCAUAGCCGACCUGAGAGGGUGAUCGGCCACACUGGAACUGAGACACGGUCCAGACUCCUACGGGAGGCAGCAGUAGGGAAUCUUCCGCAAUGGGCGAAAGCCUGACGGAGCAACGCCGCGUGAGUGAUGAAGGUCUUCGGAUCGUAAAACUCUGUUAUUAGGGAAGAACAUAUGUGUAAGUAACUGUGCACAUCUUGACGGUACCUAAUCAGAAAGCCACGGCUAACUACGUGCCAGCAGCCGCGGUAAUACGUAGGUGGCAAGCGUUAUCCGGAAUUAUUGGGCGUAAAGCGCGCGUAGGCGGUUUUUUAAGUCUGAUGUGAAAGCCCACGGCUCAACCGUGGAGGGUCAUUGGAAACUGGAAAACUUGAGUGCAGAAGAGGAAAGUGGAAUUCCAUGUGUAGCGGUGAAAUGCGCAGAGAUGUGGAGGAACACCAGUGGCGAAGGCGACUUUCUGGUCUGUAACUGACGCUGAUGUGCGAAAGCGUGGGGAUCAAACAGGAUUAGAUACCCUGGUAGUCCACGCCGUAAACGAUGAGUGCUAAGUGUUAGGGGGUUUCCGCCCCUUAGUGCUGCAGCUAACGCAUUAAGCACUCCGCCUGGGGAGUACGACCGCAAGGUUGAAACUCAAAGGAAUUGACGGGGGCCCGCACAAGCGGUGGAGCAUGUGGUUUAAUUCGAAGCAACGCGAAGAACCUUACCAAAUCUUGACAUCCUUUGACAACUCUAGAGAUAGAGCCUUCCCCUUCGGGGGACAAAGUGACAGGUGGUGCAUGGUUGUCGUCAGCUCGUGUCGUGAGAUGUUGGGUUAAGUCCCGCAACGAGCGCAACCCUUAAGCUUAGUUGCCAUCAUUAAGUUGGGCACUCUAAGUUGACUGCCGGUGACAAACCGGAGGAAGGUGGGGAUGACGUCAAAUCAUCAUGCCCCUUAUGAUUUGGGCUACACACGUGCUACAAUGGACAAUACAAAGGGCAGCGAAACCGCGAGGUCAAGCAAAUCCCAUAAAGUUGUUCUCAGUUCGGAUUGUAGUCUGCAACUCGACUACAUGAAGCUGGAAUCGCUAGUAAUCGUAGAUCAGCAUGCUACGGUGAAUACGUUCCCGGGUCU
rnacentral:rRNA from 1 species